UAGGGAAUAUUGCACAAUGGAGGAAACUCUGAUGCAGCGACGCCGCGUGAGUGAUGAAGGACUUCGGUUCGUAAAGCUCUGUUGCAGGGGAAAAGGAAAGUGAUGGUACUCUGCGAGAAAGGGUCGGCUAACUUCGUGCCAGCAGCCGCGGUAAGACGAGGGACCCUAGCGUUGUUCGGAAUCAUUGGGCGUAAAGCGGGUGUAGGUGGCUUUGUAAGUCAGGUGUGAAAGCCCGGGGCUCAACCCCGGA
rnacentral:rRNA from 1 species